rnacentral:lncRNA from 1 species
GGACCUGGGCCUGGGCCUCAGCGCGGGCGGAGGCGAAGGCCUGUUUGAGGGAGUGGUCGCCGGGGAAAUUGGCAUCUCGUUGCAAAAAAGUAUCCAAGGAGCGCGGGAGAGCUCGGCGUAGAGUGGGCGUCCAGUCACUUGUCCCUGUGAUGAGGUUCACAGCAGAGCUGGAAUUUGAACUCUCUGCCCACAGAGUGUGGCAUGGUGCUAUCUGCAACCCAAAUAGCUCUACCCUGAAGCCAGGGCCUGGGAGGGCCUGCUGAUCAGAUGCCUCAGAGCAGCAUUUCUCCUACUUUAACAUGCACACAGAUCACUUGGGGAGCAUGUUAAAAAGUAAAUCCUGAUUCCUUGGAUUUGA